CCCCCCCCCCCCCCCCGCAGUGCCCAUCCAAAGGGAAAUAAUGGAAGCUGACAAGAAAGCACCAAGUGCCAUCUGGACGAAUCCACGCGAGGACCACUGCUGGAGCCCUGGGCCCGGCCAUGAGCCGCGUUUACAGCCGCUGUUCUCCCGGCCUGCUUCGGCCAUCGUGCACUUCCCACCCUCCUGUGUUCCAGAAGCUCAGAGGAAACAUCUGAUGUCACUAAUGGAACAGUCAACAUGUGACAAAUCUAUUUAGCAGACACUCGCUCUCACCUAGCAACCCGGUCGUCAGCAAACUAAGCACCUCACUCCUGAUGCGACGGGGCUGCCCUCCGUGCUCAGGCUGAGGUCACCGCUCCCCGCCAGGGACUGACUCCACCCUUGUCCCGGAUACACUGAGAGCAGAACCACCAAAAUACGUAACGUGAACCUGACACACAGGCCCCUUCCAGUUCGGGACACUAUCUCCCUUUUCUCUCCGGCUCCCUUCCACACCUCACGGCCCGUGGCGGCAACAUCCGUGUGGACAAGCUGAUGCGCGGCCCUCCACGUUUCCGGGCUCGCCCACGCUCACGGAGGCAGCCCGACACACAGACGUGGAGCUAAUGAUGACACUGACCUCAGGAGGGGGCUGGGGGAACGAAGCACGGAAACACCCCCACGCAAAAGGCGCACAAACUGAGGCUCAAAGAGUUGCAGAGUUCCUCAAUGUCAUACAUCUCCAAGUGGCGGGGCCUGGGUGCGAGCUGGGCCCGG